GGGUUGUGAGGUUAAGCGACUAAGCGUACACGGUGGAUGCCCUGGCAGUCAGAGGCGAUGAAGGGCGUGCUAAUCUGCGAUAAGCGCCGGUAAGGUGAUAUGAACCGUUAUAACCGGCGAUACCCGAAUGGGGAAACCCAGUGUGACUCGUCACACUAUCAUUAACUGAAUCCAUAGGUUAAUGAGGCGAACCGGGGGAACUGAAACAUCUAAGUACCCCGAGGAAAAGAAAUCAACCGAGAUUCCCCCAGUAGCGGCGAGCGAACGGGGAGGAGCCCAGAGCCUGAAUCAGCAUGUGUGUUAGUGGAAGCGUCUGGAAAGGCGCGCGAUACAGGGUGACAGCCCCGUACACAAAAGCGCAUGUGCUGUGAGCUCGAUGAGUAGGGCGGGACACGUGGUAUCCUGUCUGAAUAUGGGGGGACCAUCCUCCAAGGCUAAAUACUCCUGACUGACCGAUAGUGAACCAGUACCGUGAGGGAAAGGCGAAAAGAACCCCGGCGAGGGGAGUGAAAAAGAACCUGAAACCGUGUACGUACAAGCAGUGGGAGCCCCACCACCAAAGCAUUCUCUGGUGUUGAAGGCCCUGCAAAGCAGCAUCGCGGUGGCGGAGCGUCGUUUGCGACGCCCAACACACAAAACAAGCGGUGAGUGCUUUGGGGUGGGGUGACUGCGUACCUUUUGUAUAAUGGGUCAGCGACUUAUAUUCUGUAGCAAGGUUAACCGAAUAGGGGAGCCGGAGGGAAACCGAGUCUUAAUUGGGCGUUAAGUUGCAGGGUAUAGACCCGAAACCCGGUGAUCUAGCCAUGGGCAGGUUGAAGGUUGGGUAACACUAACUGGAGGACCGAACCGACUAAUGUUGAAAAAUUAGCGGAUGACCUGUGGCUGGGGGUGAAAGGCCAAUCAAACCGGGAGAUAGCUGGUUCUCCCCGAAAGCUAUUUAGGUAGCGCCUCGUGAAUUCAUCUCCGGGGGUAGAGCACUGUUUCGGCUAGGGGGCCAUCCCGGCUUACCAACCCGAUGCAAACUGCGAAUACCGGAGAAUGUUAUCACGGGAGACACACGGCGGGUGCUAACGUCCGUCGUGAAGAGGGAAACAACCCAGACCGCCAGCUAAGGUCCCAAAGUCAUGGUUAAGUGGGAAACGAUGUGGGAAGGCCCAGACAGCCAGGAUGUUGGCUUAGAAGCAGCCAUCAUUUAAAGAAAGCGUAAUAGCUCACUGGUCGAGUCGGCCUGCGCGGAAGAUGUAACGGGGCUAAACCAUGCACCGAAGCUGCGGCAGCGACGCUUAUGCGUUGUUGGGUAGGGGAGCGUUCUGUAAGCCUGCGAAGGUGGCCUGUGAGGGUUGCUGGAGGUAUCAGAAGUGCGAAUGCUGACAUAAGUAACGAUAAAGCGGGUGAAAAGCCCGCUCGCCGGAAGACCAAGGGUUCCUGUCCAACGUUAAUCGGGGCAGGGUGAGUCGACCCCUAAGGCGAGGCCGAAAGGCGUAGUCGAUGGGAAACGGGUUAAUAUUCCCGUACUUGGUGUUACUGCGAAGGGGGGACGGAGAAGGCUAUGUUGGCCGGGCGACGGUUGUCCCGGUUUAAGCGUGUAGGUGUGUGUUCCAGGUAAAUCCGGUUCACUUUAACACUGAGGCGUGAUGACGAGGCACUACGGUGCUGAAGCAACAAAUGCCCUGCUUCCAGGAAAAGCCUCUAAGCAUCAGGUAACAUCAAAUCGUACCCCAAACCGACACAGGUGGUCAGGUAGAGAAUACCAAGGCGCUUGAGAGAACUCGGGUGAAGGAACUAGGCAAAAUGGUGCCGUAA
rnacentral:rRNA from 1 species